rnacentral:tRNA from 1 species
UGGGAUGAAGUUUAUUCAUAAACAUUUAAUUUGCAUUUAAAAAUCAAUUGCGAUCCAAUCUUCCUAU